GAUGAACGCUGGCGGCGUGCCUAAUACAUGCAAGUCGAGCGAACAGACGAGGAGCUUGCUCCUCUGACGUUAGCGGCGGACGGGUGAGUAACACGUGGAUAACCUACCUAUAAGACUGGGAUAACUUCGGGAAACCGGAGCUACUACCGGAUAAUAUAUUGAACCUCAUUGUUCACUAGUGAAAUACGGUUUUGCUGUCACUUAUAGAUGAAUCCGCGCCGCAUUAGCUAGUUGUUAAGGUAACGGCAUACCAAGGCAACGACGCGUAGCCGACCUGAGAGGGUGAUCGGACACACUGGAACUGAGACACGGUCCACACUCCUACGGGAGGCAGCAGUAGGGAAUCUUCCGCAAUGGGCGAAAGCCUGACGGAGCAACGCCGCGUGAGUGAUGAAGGUCUUCGGAUCGUAAAACUCUGUUAUUAGGGAAGAACAAAUGUGUAAGUAACUAUGCACGUCUUGACGGUACCUAAUCAGAAAGCCACGGCUAACUACGUG
rnacentral:rRNA from 1 species